rnacentral:rRNA from 1 species
CAGCAGCCACGGGAAUACGGAGGGUGCAAGCGUUAAUCGGAAUUACUGGGCGUAAAGCGCACGCAGGCGGUCUGACAAGUCAGAUGUGAAAUCCCCGGGCUUAACCUGGGAACUGCAUUUGAAACUGUCAGGCUGGAGUCUUGUAGAGGGGGGUGGAAUUCCAGGUGUAGCGGUGAAAUGCGUAGAGAUCUGGAGGAAUACCGGUGGCGAAGGCGGCCCCCUGGACAAAGACUGACGCUCAGGUGCGAAAGCGUGGGGAGCAAACAGGAUUAGAUACCCCUGUAGUCCCUGUCUCUUAUAA